rnacentral:rRNA from 1 species
GACGAACGCUGGCGGCGUGCCUAAUACAUGCAAGUCGAACGCUGAAGGAGGAGCUUGCUUCUCCGGAUGAGUUGCGAACGGGUGAGUAACGCGUAGGUAACCUGCCUGGUAGCGGGGGAUAACUAUUGGAAACGAUAGCUAAUACCGCAUAAGAGUAGAUGUCGCAUGACAUUUGCUUAAAAGGUGCAACUGCACCACUACCAGAUGGACCUGCGUUGUAUUAGCUAGUUGGUGAGGUAACGGCUCACCAAGGCAACGAUACAUAGCCGACCUGAGAGGGUGAUCGGCCACACUGGGACUGAGACACGGCCCAGACUCCUACGGGAGGCAGCAGUAGGGAAUCUUCGGCAAUGGACGGAAGUCUGACCGAGCAACGCCGCGUGAGUGAAGAAGGGUUUCGGAUCGUAAAGCUCUGUUGUAAGAGAAGAACGAGUGUGAGAGUGGAAAGUUCACACUGUGACGGUAGCUUACCAGAAAGGGACGGCUAACUACGUG